UAAGGUCACGGCGAGACGAGCCGUUUAUCAUGACGAUAGGUGUCAAGUGGAAGUACAGUAAUGUAUGCUGCUGAGGCAUCCUAACAGACCGAGAGAUUUGAAC
rnacentral:rRNA from 1 species